CGGCACUGCAGAUGUUUUGGACUACACCUCCCAUGAUGCUUUGCCAGCAUUACGGGGGAUGUAGUCCACAACAUCUGGAGUGCCG
rnacentral:miRNA from 1 species